GACGAACGCUGGCGGCGUGCUUAACACAUGCAAGUCGAACGGAAAGGCCUCUUUCGGGGGGUACUCGAGUGGCGAACGGGUGAGUAACACGUGAGUAACCUGCCCUUGACUUUGGGAUAACUUCAGGAAACUGGGGCUAAUACCGGAUAGGAGCUCCUGCUGCAUGGUGGGGGUUGGAAAGUUUCGGCGGUUGGGGAUGGACUCGCGGCUUAUCAGCUUGUUGGUGGGGUAGUGGCUUACCAAGGCUUUGACGGGUAGCCGGCCUGAGAGGGUGACCGGCCACAUUGGGACUGAGAUACGGCCCAGACUCCUACGGGAGGCAGCAGUGGGGAAUAUUGCACAAGGGGUGGAAGCCUGAUGCAGCAACGCCGUGGGCGGGAUGACGGCCUUCGGGUUGGAAACCGCUUUCGCUCAUGACGAAGCUUUGUGUGACGGUAGUGGGUAAAGAAGCACCGGCUAACUACGUG
rnacentral:rRNA from 1 species